rnacentral:tRNA from 1 species
GGGGGAAUAGCUCAGUGGUAGAGUGCGUGCUUGGCACACACAAGGUCCUGGGUUCAAUCCCUAGUACCUCCA